rnacentral:rRNA from 1 species
CCUACGGGAGGCAGCAGUGAGGAAUAUUGGUCAAUGGCCGGAAGGCUGAACCAGCCAUGCCGCGUGAAGGUCAGUGCCCUAUGGGCGUUAAACUUCUUUUGUGCGGGAGCAAUAAUGGUCACGUGUGGCCAGACGAGAGUACCGUACGAAUAAGCAUCGGCUAACUCCGUGCCAGCAGCCGCGGCAAUACGGGGGAUGCAAGCGUUAUCCGGAUUUAUUGGGAUUAAAGGGUGCGUAGGCUGUGAGGUAAGUCAGCGGUGAAAUGCCCCCGCUCAACGGGGUGAAGUGCCAUUGAUACUGCCUGGCUUGAAUGCGGAUGCCGUGGGAAGAAUGUGUGGUGUAGCGGUGAAAUGCAUAGAGAUCACACAGAACACCGAUUGCGAAGGCAUCUCACGAAUCCGCGAUUGACGCUGAUGCACGAAAGCGUGGGUAUCAAACAGGAUUAGAUACCCGAGUAGUC